GCUGGCUGGUUUCAGGGAGCGGGGGGAAUACGUGGGGGGCAAUCGUUGUUCGGAUUAAGUUGGCGUAGAGGGUGGGUUGGGGGCCUGGAAUGUCAGCGGUGACAACUAGAGGCGCAACCUCGAGACGUCGGGUGAAACCACCGGGCUAGAGUACGGAAGAGGAGUGUGGAAUUCCCGGUGUAGCGGUGAAAUGCGCAGAUAUCGGGAAGAACACCCGUGGCGAAGGCGGCACUCUGGGACGGUACUGACGCUGAGACGCGAAAGCGUGGGGAGCGAACAGGAUUAGAUACCCGAGUAGUC
rnacentral:rRNA from 1 species